UCUACUGGGGGUGCCCAUCUUUUUGGGCUGAGAGAAAGACGGCUGUUUUUCAACCCUUUGGACCUGAUCCGGAUUAUACCGGCGUAGGAAAGUAGGGAG
rnacentral:ncRNA from 1 species